CCCGAGUUGGUGCAGUGGUUAGCAUUUCCGGUGGCCAGCGGGAAGACUCAGGUUCAAAUCCUGAACUUGGGA
rnacentral:tRNA from 2 species